GGUAGCUUUAUGAUAUAUAUUAGUACUUUCUUUUGGGGGAGGACCAGGGAAAGCUCAGGAUCCUUCUUUGUUUCUUCCAGAUGAAGCAUCUCAAUCUCUAUAGGAAAACCACAUUGGGAUAAUUGUUUUUGCAUUGUAUAGCUUAUUCAUUACAUUUAUAGAUUCAUUUAAGAAAAGGCAUUGUUUUUAUUUUUUCCUUCUAAGAAUAUAUUUUUACUAUGUGUGAAAAUGUGUUUACAAAAGCAAGCAGGCUAUUUCUGCACCUUUUUAAAUAGAACAUUACAGGUACCUAGAAAUAAGAUUGUGUGUGUCUUUUCUAGAAGGAAAGUAUUCCUUGAACUUUCACCAUGGUCUUUAUUUCAUUAACUAACAUAUUUUCACCUGUUUUGAACUUAGAGAAGUCAUACUUUAUAAUCAUAUUUUGUUUUAUGUUCCAAAUUUUAUGUUAUAGCAUGUGUCCAUGCUCCUUUACACAUUUUUCCCCCUCUAAGUUAUAGCCCAGGCCACCAUUGAAUUUGGUAUGUAGCAAAGGCUGGAAUUGGACUCUUGAUCUUCCUACUGAGUCCUCUAAAAUGCUGGGAUUACAAACACACUGCCACGCUGGAUUUAUGCUGUGCUGGUGAUUGACACAGGGCUUUGUGUAUUGUAGACAAGCAUUGGUCUACAUCCCCAGGUGUAAAAAUACUGAGUCUCCAGUUAUAAUACAUCUACAGGUGUAAAAAUACUGCAUACUACAUUAGAUGUUAAAUUGACUACUAGUAUGUUUAAAAACUAAACCAAUUACAUCUUGACUUAAAUAACAUUUUUGGUGAAAAAUGGCUAUUUACCUUCCAGAAUAUAUUAGUGAUAAGAGUAAUAUUGUACAAUGUGUUUGCAAAUACAUCAUGUCACCUUUAAUUGUUCAAGUUCUGUACUUUGUUGUAUAGAUUGUUUUAGUUGAAAUAUAUGGCAAAAUUGUCUGUUAUUGGCUAGUCCACUGGUUGGAAAAGGAAGGACAUAUUAAUAUUUUCUUAUAGUUGUGGGGUUUUUGCUAUUCAUCAAUUUUGAUAAUAGUUUGCAUUUAUCGAGCUUGUUCUUCAGAGGGCUUUCAUUUGUGUAGUAGUCAUUGGAAAAUACCGCUUCUCUAAAUUGCAUAGAUCUUCCAAAUAGUAAGUAUAUAUAUACAUAACAUAUUGUAACUAUUAUACAUAACAUAUUAAUACUAAUAGUAAUACAUAGUUUAUAUAUAUAUAUAUAUUUUCAGGGUGUCACAUUUAUUAAAUUAGAUUUUUCUAGGACUCUGCCAUAUGAUUUUUAGGACUUUGUCUUAGUAUUUGUCAGAGUUAUUAUAGGUGCCCUCUUACUAUUUAAAUAUUUUACAUUUUUUAUUGACUAUUUCUUAAUACUGCCCAACUGGUUUUGAUUUAUCUUACCUCUAAUUUAUCAUUUAUAUUAAUUUUACCAAUGAAAAAUAUGUUUGUUUUUAAUUUUUCACUAAACUAUUUUGAUAUAAGUAGAUGGUAUAUACACUUGUGUAUUUUGUGUGUUUAUUUUGUGGUACUAAGAAUUGAAUCCAAAGUUUAAUACAGGCCAAGCUACCCCUGAUCCAUAUUCUCAGCCCUGUACUUUUAUGUUUUAAAGGCUGUAAAUGCUGAGUAAUAGAAUAUAUGCCUAGUAUGUGGGCCACCUUGGAUUAAUUCCUAGCACCAGUAAUAAGUACAAAAGAAUAUCUGUUAGAAUACAGCUUCUUUUUGAGACAUUAUGUCACUCAUCCUGCCUGUACCUAGGAUUUCCCUGCCAUGUUUCACGAGUUUCUGGGAUUACUAGUAUGCUCCACCAUGCCUGGCUAGAAUUUUUUUUUUUUAAAGAUUUUACAUUUAUUUUAAGUUAUGUAUCUGUGUGAGGGUUUGUGCACUUGAGAGCAGGUACCUAUGAAGGCCAGAAGAGGAUGGAUCUGGAGCUACACCCAACAUGGGUGCUAAGAACUGAACUUGGGGCUCUUCAAGAGUAAUUAGUAUGUGUUCUUAACCACUGACCAUCUCUCCACUAGCUGGAAU
rnacentral:lncRNA from 1 species